rnacentral:rRNA from 1 species
UACGGAGGGUGCAAGCGUUAUCCGGAUUCACUGGGUUUAAAGGGUGCGUAGGCGGGCAGGUAAGUCAGUGGUGAAAUCUCCGAGCUUAACUCGGAAACUGCCAUUGAUACUAUUUGUCUUGAAUAUUGUGGAGGUAAGCGGAAUAUGUCAUGUAGCGGUGAAAUGCUUAGAUAUGACAUAGAACACCAAUUGCGAAGGCAGCUUACUACACAAUGAUUAACGCUGAGGCACGAAAGCGUGGGGAUCAAACAGG